AUUUGUGAAGUUGCUUUAAGUACUAAUAAGCAAUGUACAAAAUGUUUGAAAUAUUUUACAUUAUCCUAUCUUUAUAAGAAAUGCAGUUAUUUUCAUAUUUUAAAAAUAAACAAACAGCAUAAAAACAUGUGUGAUAACAAUUGGAUACAUUUAGCAAGUCUUGAAGAAAAUGUGCAAGCAACAAUUAGACUUGUUGUUAAUACUGAUGGAAUUCCUGUUUUUAAAUUAUCAAAGUGGACCUUGUGGCCUUUGCUAGCAUCCAUUCAUAAUUUUCCAUAUUCAUUGCAAAUUACUAAUAUUUUGUUUUUUGGUUUCUGGUCCAGUUUUAAAAAACCAAACGUGCAAUUACUUUUAUCUUGUUUUGUUGAUUUUUUACUAACCUAUCCACUACUGGUAGUUUAAUGAUUAUAAUGGUUGCCAUUGGUGUUCUUCUCAAGGAGUAAGAGUUAAAAAAAGAAGACACUGUACUGUUGUAAAUAAUCUUUUAUCUGCAAUCAGUGUGCCAAGCAAUAUAAGACAGACUCGAUGAUCAUUAAGUUGUAUAAAGCAUUGGAAAGG
rnacentral:misc_RNA from 1 species